GUUGACCUCGGAUCAGGUAGGGAUACCCGCUGAACUUAAGCAUAUCAAUAAGCGGAGGAAAAGAAACCAACAGGGAUUGCCCCAGUAACGGCGAGUGAAGCGGCAACAGCUCAAAUUU
rnacentral:rRNA from 1 species